GGUGGUAUGGCACAAUGGUUAGCGCAUUCGGCUGUUAACCGAAAGGUUGUAAGUUCGACCCUUACUAUCACCG
rnacentral:tRNA from 1 species